rnacentral:rRNA from 1 species
AGUCGUGGGUUCCAAAGCUAACGCAUUAAAUAGACCGCCUGGGGAGUACGGCCGCAAGGUUAAAACUCAAAUGAAUUGACGGGGGCCCGCACAAGCGGUGGAGCAUGUGGUUUAAUUCGAUGCAACGCGAAGAACCUUACCUACUCUUGACAUCCAGAGAACUUUCCAGAGAUGGAUUGGUGCCUUCGGGAACUCUGAGACAGGUGCUGCAUGGCUGUCGUCAGCUCGUGUUGUGAAAUGUUGGGUUAAGUCCCGCAACGAGCGCAACCCUUGUCCUAUGUUGCCAGCACUUCGGGUGGGAACUCAUGGGAGACUGCCGGUGAUAAACCGGAGGAAGGUGGGGACGACGUCAAGUCAUCAUGGCCCUUACGAGUAGGGCUACACACGUGCUACAAUGGUCAGUACAAAGGGUUGCCAACUAGCGAUAGUGAGCCAAUCCCAUAAAGCUGGUCGUAGUCCGGAUCGGAGUCUGCAACUCGACUCCGUGAAGUCGGAAUCGCUAGUAAUCGUGGAUCAGAAUGCCACGGUGAAUACGUUCCCGGGCCUUGUACACACCGCCCGUCACACCAUGGGAGUGGGCUGCAAAAGAAGUGGGUAGUUUAACUUCGGGAGGACGC